UGAGUAAUGAACACAACUGUCUUGAGGUACAGAAGGAGAAGCUGGAACCCUUACCUCCAAACAUCUGGGAAGGCUUGUUUACAACUGAACACAUUCAUUGAUGACAAGAUGACUGGACACACUUUAUCAAUUUAUAAAAAACGAAUGCUGCAAUGACU
rnacentral:lncRNA from 11 species